UACAGAGGGUGCAAGCGUUAAUCGGAAUUACUGGGCGUAAAGGGCGCGUAGGUGGCCCCUCAAGCGUGCGGUGAAAGUCACGGGGCGUCAACCCCUGAUCGGCCGUGCGAACUGGGGAGCUUGAGCACUGUAGAGGCAGGGUGGAAUUCCGGGGUGUAGCGGUGGAAUGCGUAGAGAAUCCGGAAGAACACCGGUGGCGA
rnacentral:rRNA from 1 species